rnacentral:lncRNA from 1 species
UAGGGUGCUAUUAGAAUGCUGUUAGGAUGCUGUUAGGCUGCUGUUAGGUUACUGUUAGGAUGCUGUUCAGAUGCUGUUAGGCUGCUGUUAGGCUGCUGUUAGGAUGCUGUUAGGUUGCUGUUAGGCUGCUGUUAGGCUGCUGUUCGGAUGCUGUUAGGAUGCUGUUAUGCCUGCUGUUAGGAUGCUGUUGGGCUGCUGUUAGGUUGCUGAUAUGAUGCUGUUAGGUUGCUGUUAGGCUGCUCGUAGUUGGCGGCUAGGCUGCUGUUAGGAUGAUGUUAGGCUGAUGUUAGGAUGCUGUUAGACUGCUGUUAGUCUGCUGUUAGGAUGAUGUUAGGAUGCUGUUUGUCUGUUGUUAGGAUGCUGUUAGGAUGCUGUUUGGCUGCUGUUAGGUUGCUGUUAGGAUGCUGUUAAGAUGCUCUUUGGCUGUUGUUUGGCUUCUGUUAGGAUGCUGUUAGGCUGCUGUUUGGUUGCUGUUAGGAUGCUGUUUGUCUGUUGUUAGGAUGCUGUUAGAAUGCUGUUAGGCUGUUAGGUUGCUGUUAAGAUGCAAUUAGGAUGUUUUUUAGCUGCUGUUAGGCUGCUGUUAGGUUGCUUUUAGGAUGCUGUUAAAAUGCAAUUAGGCUGUGGUUAGGUUGCUGUUAGGCUGCUGUUAGGCUGUUAGGAUGUGGUUAGGUUGCUGUUAGGAUGCUAUUCAGAUGCUGUUAGCCUGCUGUUAGGAUGCUGUUAGGCACAUUUUAGGAUGCUGUUAGGCUGCUGUUAGGAUGCUGUUAGGAUGCUGUUAGGCUGCUGUUAGGAUGCUGUUAGGAUGCUGUUAGGUUGCUGUUAGGAUGCUGUUAGGUUGCUGUUAGGCUGCUGUUAGGCUGCUGUUAGGAUGCUGUUAGGUUGCUUUCCAGAUGCUGUUCAGAUGCUGUUCAGACACUGUUAGGAUGCUGUUAGGAUGCUGUUAGGCUUAUUUUAGGCUGCUGUUGGGAUGCUGUUAGGCUGCUGUUAGGAUGCUGUUAGGAUGCUGUUAGGAUACUGUUCGGAUGCUGUUAGGAUGCUGUUAUGCCUGCUGUUAGGCUGCUGUUAGAUUGCUGUUAGGAUGCUGUUAGGAUGCU